UACGUAGGGGGCGAGCGUUGUCCGGAUUUAUUGGGCGUAAAGAGCGUGUAGGCGGCCAGGUAGGUCUGCUGUGAAAACUCGAGGCUCAACCUCGAGACGUCGGCGGAAACCAUCUGGCUAGAGUCCGGAAGAGGAGAGUGGAAUUCCUGGCUGUAGCGGUGGAAUGCGCAGAUAUCAGGAGGAACACCGGUGGCGAAGGCGGGUCUCUGGGCAGUAACUGACGCUGAGGAGCGAAAGCGUGGGGGAGCGAACAGG
rnacentral:rRNA from 1 species